UACGUAGGGGGCAAGCGUUGUCCGGAAUCAUUGGGCGUAAAGAGCGUGUAGGCGGCCCGGUAAGUCCGCUGUAAAAGUCAAAGGCUCAACCUUUGAAUGUCAGUGGAUACUGCCGGGCUAGAGUCCGGAAGAGGCGAGUGGAACUCCUGGUGUAGCGGUGGAAUGCGCAGAUAUCAGGAAGAACACCAACGGCGAAGGCAGCUCGCUGGGACGGUACUGACGCUGAGACGCGAAAGCGUGGGGAGCAAACAGG
rnacentral:rRNA from 1 species